rnacentral:rRNA from 1 species
GUGGGGGAUAUUGCGCAAUGGGGGAAACCCUGACGCAGCAACGCCGCGUGAAGGAAGACGGUUUUCGGAUUGUAAACUUCUUUUGUUAAGGACGAAGAAAGUGACGGUACUUAACGAAUAAGCUCCGGCUAACUAUGUGCCAGCAGCCGCGGUAAUACAUAGGGAGCAAGCGUUGUCCGGAUUUACUGGGUGUAAAGGGUGCGUAGGCGGCAAGGCAAGUCAGAUGUGAAAUGUAAGGGCUCAACCCUUAAGCUGCAUUUGAAACUGUUUUGCUUGAGUGAAGUAGAGGCAGGCGGAAUUCCCGGUGUAGCGGUGAAAUGCGUAGAGAUCGGGAGGAACACCAGUGGCGAAGGCGGCCUGCUGGGCUUUAACUGACGCUGAGGCACGAAAGCGUGGGUAGCAAACAGGAUUAGAAACCCUAGUAGUCC